rnacentral:tRNA from 1 species
GCCGCCAAGAUGGACGCCACCACCCCAAGGACA